UCGGGAAUUUUGGGCAAUGGGCGAAAGCCUGACCCAGCAACGCCGCGUGAGGGAUGAAGUAUUUUGGUAUGUAAACCUCGAAAGAAUGGGAAGAAUAAAUGCCGGUACCAUUUAUAAGCUCCGGCUAACUACGCGCCAGCAGCCGCGGUAAUACGUAGGGAGCAAGCGUUGUUCGGAUUUACUGGGCGUAAAGGGCGCGUAGGCGGCGCGGUAAGUCACUUGUGAAAUCUCUGAGCUUAACUCAGAACGGCCAAGUGAUACUGCUGUGCUAGAGUGCGGAAGAGGCUACCGGAAUUCUAGGUGUAGCGGUGAAAUGCGUAGAUAUCAAGAGGAACACCUGAGGCGAAGGCGGGUUGCUGGGCCGACACUGACGCUGAUGCGCGAAAGCCAGGGGAGCAAACG
rnacentral:rRNA from 1 species